GUAUUUUGUAGCUUUAUUUUAGAACAAUCAGGAGAAACAAAACCUGUUCUCUCUGCUUCUUUGCCACAUCACCAGGAGGAGUACAUUAGCAGCAUGGAGCCUGGUGACCUAGCUGUAUGCCUCACGGCAUACAGAAAGUGAAGACGACAGAGAAGAGAUCAACAAAGGUGCCUGGCUGUGCAGAAGGAGGAGCAGCACCCUUAGGAAGAAGGGGUGGAUGGGGGUCCCACACACGCUGCUGAAAAGCCGCAGCAAGUCAUCGCUGGUCAGCGCCUAGCUAGAGCCAUGGUCUAUAGAUGCCACCUUUCAUUCCUGCAGAUGACCGAGAACCAGUGUCACAAUGUCACAAACAGAUUUAACCAAGAAAGGAUAAACUGUACCUUUCACAUUCUCAGGACACCUGGAACUGCUUUACAGCCAAUGGACUACUUCUAAAGUGUAGUCAGUGUUGUAAGGUACAGAAACCCAGCAGUCAAUUUAUGCACAGCAAGGUCCCAUAAGUAACAACUGUGCUAACUGACCAGUUAAUAUGAUAUAGCAGUGUUAGUUGAGAUUUAAAUUUUGGCCAGGAAAAUUCAUCUAUUCUUCUGCCAGUGCCAAAGGAUCUUUAAUAUCCAGUCAGAUGGAACCUUGGUUUAACGUUGCAUCGAAGGACAUUACCUCUGGCAAUGCAGUAUGUGUUGUAUUGAAGUAUCAGCCUACAUUCAUUUAUCCCUAGAACAGAACUUGAACAUCUUCAUGAGAUAACAUUGCAUUUCGCAUGUGGGUGGCGAUACUUUCUGCAACCAAAACUUGUUCAAGAGUAAAUCCAUUGCAGAGUUAUCUCGAGUAUUACAGGACAAAAAAUAAGUACAACACAGUCAACAUGUCCAAUCAGACUUUCCAAGUCUCUCUUCUGAGGUGUGACAAACACACAUUUUUGGUUGAAAAAUGUAACCCACUUUGAUUUUUGUCACUCUGAUAUGUAAACUUAGCUUUGCGUUUUUCAAUAGAUUUUUAGCUGGUGCCAUUGUUGAUCUUAAAUAUGACUUACAAAAUUUCUCUGAUGUUGGCAACCCUGGAUGAGUAUCAAUUUCAGCAUUUGGACUUUCUUGAUUCAUCACUGCUGCAAUUUUGAAAUAAUCUUUAACUUGUUGAUUGAAAGCUCAGUGGGCUAACAGCAAGGGUGACAUUGAUUCUCCAGGUGAAGUAGUAAGUUGAAAGUUUUCGCCUGUAACUAGAACAAAAUAAGGCAUCCACAUAUAUAGGACCUUUAAUAUAGAAAAAUACCCAAAGUGCUUCAAAGGCAUUGUUGUUAUUGCAGCCGAAAGUCAAAGCUUAUUUCUUUCGUCUUCUGCCAGUCCACGUUAGAGCAUCAUUAGCAGACAUCAAGAAGCAGAUCACUUCACUGCUCUUAACGUGUAACACUAUGCAUGGUACAGAGAGACAUAAAGAGUACAGGAAGAACAAAAUGUUGGUCAAAAUAAGGGAAAAAUAAAUGAUCAUGUUGGACACUAACUGUGCAUGACAGCAAAUAAAUAUCACAAUAUUGACCCUCUGUACAUAAAAAAUAA